UGGACAGACGGGGAAUUGAACCCCGGACCUCUCCCAUGCUCAUCCACCUGUUGCUAGGUGAAAAGAUGCUAAGGGAAAAUCAUACCACUAGACCACCCGCCC